UACGUAGGUGUCAAGCGUUGUCCGGAUUUACUGGGCGUAAAGAGCGCUCAGGCGGUCGUUCCAGUCGAGUGUGAAAGCCCCCGGCUCAACUGGGGAGGGUCAUUCGAUACUGAUCGACUCGAAGGCAGGAGAGGGUAGUGGAAUUCCCGGUGUAGUGGUGAAAUGCGUAGAUAUCGGAAGGAACACCAGUGGCGAAAGCGGCUUCCUGGUCCAGCACCGACGUUCAGGCACGAAAGCGUGGGGAGCAAACAGG
rnacentral:rRNA from 1 species